UACUACCAUCUGCACUGAUAAAACCGGCACCCUGACUUUAAAUCAGAUGCAAGUCACUGAAUUUUGGUUAGGCAAUGAGCCGAUGAAGGGAAAGACACCAACAGACAUAGCACCUGAUGUUGGUCAACUGCUGCAAGAAAGUAUUGGCUUAAACAGUACUGGUGAGAUUUAUACUUCACCUUCUUCACCAAAUCCAGAGAUUACUGGUAACCCAACAGAGUCAGCCAUCCUUAAUUGGGCUGUAUUUGAUAUGAAAAUGGAUAUCAACACAACAAAGCAAGAGUAUGAAAAGCUCCAUGUUGAAGUUUUCAAUUCAGAGAAGAAAAGAAGUGGGGUUUUAGUGAGGAAAAAUCAUUCGGAGACAGUUCGUGUGCAUUGGAAAGGAGCAGCUGAAAUGAUUCUGGCCAGGUGUUCAAACUACUACAUGGAAAAUGGUACAGUUAAGGCCAUAGAUGAUGAAGAGAGAAAACAGCUUGAAAUAAUAAUUGAAAAGAUGGCAGGUAAGAGUCUUCGCUGCAUUGCUUUUGCUUUCAAAAGCAUUGCAGGACAUGGUGUCAUUUGCGAGAAUCUUCCAGACACUCAAUUAACAUUACUGGGGUUGGUGGGUUUAAAGGAUCCAUGCAGGCCAGAGGUUAAAGCAGCAGUAAAAUCGUGCAGAAAAGCUGGAGUGAACAUAAAAGUAAUCACUGGAGACAACAUGUUUACAGCAAAAUCAAUAGCCAUAGAGUGCGGAAUUUUAAAUGGUAAUGAGGACUUGGAAGAUACAGCUGUUGAAGGAAUAACUUUCAGAAAUUAUUCACCUGAAGAAAGAAUGGCAAAAAUUGAUCGGAUCCUUCUUAUGGCAAGAUCAUCUCCUUUUGACAAGCUAUUGAUGGUACAGAGUUUAAAGCAGAAAGGUCAUGUGGUAGCAGUAACUGGUGAUGGCACAAAUGAUGCACC
rnacentral:lncRNA from 1 species